GCUCUCGUGGCCAGUUGGUUAGUGCGUCGUACUUAUAAUGCGAAGGUCGAGGGUUCGAUCCCCUCCGGGAGCA
rnacentral:tRNA from 1 species